rnacentral:snoRNA from 1 species
UUGGCAUCUUCGAAGAUCCACACGCCGUUUAUCUUUCCGUGGCAUGGGGAUUCAAAGCGAUGCCUAGAAUAGAAUCUAUUGACCGGUGAUAACGGACCUUUCUGGUUAUAAAAAAAUCCAGAAGACGUUUUUCAUAUGUUUGCUGUACAUAA